rnacentral:lncRNA from 1 species
GUGGUCCUAACAGAUGUCUAUAGUCAGGACAUUACUUAGCCACGGGUGACCCCUACAGAUAGUGUGAUACCACUCUCGUCAAACGGUAUGUCGUCAUCCACUAGGAGCGGUCCUCUUACGUCUUUCCAAGCAAGGUAAGGGAGGAGAAAAUAGAUACUCCAAAGGAUAAGGGGAAUAGAUACCCCUCAGAGAUAAAAAGGCUAACGAGACACUUGAUGCAAUAUGC